GGUAGUAGCACAUAUUCUAACCAGAACUUCAAAGGCCGAAGUGGAGAAGGGUUCCAUGUGGACAGCAGUUGAACAUGGGUCAGUCGGUCCUGAGAAAUAGGCAAGCGCCAUUCUGAAUGGACAGGCGACGGCCUCCGUUGCCCUCAGCCAAUCGAAAGGGAGUCCGGUUCAGAUACCCGAAUCCGGAUUGGCGGAGAUGGACACCGCCAAGCGUCCAGCACAGUAAUGCGAAGGAUCCCAGAGAAGCCGCUGGAAGCCCCUGGGAGAGUUCUUUUCUCCUUGUGAAGGGCAGGGCGCCCUGGAAUUGGGUUCUCCUGGAGAGAGGGGUCCGCGCCUUGGAAAGCGUGGCGGUUCCAGCGGCAUCUGGUGAGCUCUGGCUGGCCCUUGAAAGUGCGGGGGAGAGGGUGUAAAUCUUGCGCCGGGCUGUACCCAUAUCCGCAGCAUUCCUCCCUCUGGAACUAAGACCUCUAGGCC
rnacentral:ncRNA from 1 species